UACCACUCUUUGAUACAACGCUGUGAUACAACACUGUGAUACGACACGGACGCACAUCAGAUUACAAACGUGAAAUACUUUGCAAGAGAAUAGCGGAUACAUGAAAACCACGGCUGAUAAAUAACAUAAUGGAAGCGGAAACAAACGCAAGUGUUGUAUAUCUUAAACAAAGAUUUGAACAAAGGAAACAUUAUUAAAUGAAUCACAGGACCUAUUGUAAUCCAGCUAUAUAAGAACACCAAAAUAUUAAGUUAAUAUACAAACACACACAGAAACACACACACUCACACACACAGACACACACACA
rnacentral:lncRNA from 1 species